GACUAAAUCAUUGCAUACUGAAUACAUAGGUAUGUGAAGAAGACCUAGGGAAUUGAAACAUCUUAGUACCUAGAGGAAAAGAAAGAAAUAACGGUGUUAAAGUUAUUAGCUGAUCUUUGAUCAGUUACUGACUUUGAUACUUUCUAUUCCCUUAGUAGCGGCGAGCGAAAAGGGAGGAGUUCAAACUUUAUAUAAGAUAAACCAUCGCCGUUGUAUUACUUUCGGGUAAUGCAACAUGGUGGAGCAAUGUCCUCAAGACUAACGCUGUAUAGGGGGUUGUAAGAGAUUACGUUUGGAGCUUGAGUGAUCCGAAACAGAGUUUACACAGUUUAACUUUCCUAAUUGAAUGGUCUGGAAAGACCAGCCAUAGAAGGUGAUAGCCCUGUAAGUGAAAGGAGUUAUCGCUCUGUAGUAAUUUUCUUGAGUACUUCAGGACCCGUGAAAUCCUGGAGGAACCUGGCGCGACUAUGCGCUAAAACUAAAUAUCUUUGGUGAUCGAUAGUGAACAAGUACCGCGAGGGAAAGGUGAAAAGCACCCCGGUGAGGGGGAUGAAAUAGUAUUUGAAACCGUGUGUUUACAAAGAGUCAAAGAGCUAUACUUAAUUUCGAUUAAGAACGCUCAAUGGCGUGCCUAUUGAAGAAUGAGCCAACGAGUUUGUGUUUAGUUGCUUAAUUUAACUCUUACGAGAGGAAGGUAAAGUGAAAGCGAGGCUUAACAGGCCGAUGUUAACUUUUAAGUUAACUCUUGAUUUAUUAAGAGCUAGCUUAAAUUUUAACCAGCAGCAGAUACAAGACCCGAAGCCGGGCGACCUAACCAUGGCCAGGUUGAAGCCAGUGUAAAAACUGGUGGAGGACCGAACCCACUGAUCGUGCAACAUCAGGGGAUGAGCUGUGGCUAGCGGUGAAAUGCCAAUCGAGCUCGGCAAUAGCUGGUUCUCUCCGAAAUAGUUUUAGGACUAGCCUCCUUAUGGAGCCUGGGGGUAGAGCACUGGAUGAGAUGAAGUGCGAAAGCUUAUUCAUUUCAAUCAAACUCCGAAUACCAGGUACUCUUUAUAAGGGGAGUCAGACCGUGGGGGCUAAGCUUCACGUGUCAAAAGGGAAACAGCCCAGAUCCUCAUCUAAGGUCCCUAAAUAUUAGUUAAGUGUGAAAGGUGGUAUUAAUUCUCCGACAACUAGGAGGUUGGCUUAGAAGCAGCCAUCCUUUAAAGAUAGCGUAACAGCUCACUAGUCAAGAGUUUUUGUGCCGAAAAUUUAACGGGGCUAAACUAAUUACCGAAGAUAGGAAUCUUAAGUUUUUAACUUAAGGUGGUAGGAGAGCAUUUCUUGGUCACUGAAGCAGUACCGUAAGGAGCUGUGGAGAGCAAGGAAGAGAGAAUGUUGGCAUAAGUAGCAAAAAUUUGAGUGAAAACCUCAAACACCGAAAAUCCAAGGUUUCCUGGGCAACGUAAAUCGACCCAGGGUUAGGCGAUCCUAAGCCGAGGCUGAAAGGCGUAGGCGAUGGAUGAGCAGGUUAAUAUUCCUGCCCUACCAUUAAUUAUCGAUGGGGAGACGCCGGGACAGACUUUAAGCGUCAUCAUGGUUUAGACGUUGGCGAUCAGCGAUGCGAUUCUUAGGUAAAUCCGGGAAUCAUUAAGUGUCAAGAUUGUUAAGAGAUUGCGGCUUCGGCCAAAAUCAAUUUAGGGAAAGUACCGGACUAGAAAAACCUCUAAGAGUUAACAUUAAUGGUAAUCGUACCCCAAACCAACACAGGUGGAUAAGGCGAGAAGCCUAAGGUGUACGAGCUAACCUUCGUUAAGGAACUCGGCAAAACAGCGUGCGUAACUUCGGGAUAAGCACCGCCCUUGUUUUGCAAGGGCCGCAGCGAAAGAUUUCAAGCGACUGUUUAUCAAAAACAUAGGUCUCUGCUAAACCGUAAGGUGAUGUAUAGGGGCUGAUGCCUGGCCAGUGUCCGAACGUUAAGGGGAGAGGUGCAAGCCUUGAACCGAAGCGCGGAUGAACGCCGGCGGUAACUAUAACCGUCCUAAGGUAGCGAAAUUCCUUGCCGGGUAAGUUCCGGCCUGCACGAAUGGCAUAACGACUUGAAAACUGUCUCAACGAAGGACUCGGCGAAAUUGCAUGACGAGUAAAGAUGCUCGUUACCCAUAGCCGGACGAAAAGACCCCGUGAAGCUUUACUAUAACUUGGUAUUGGUUUAGGGUUGUACUUAUUCAGUAUAGGUGGGAGACUUUGAAGUCUAGACGUCAGUCUAGAUGGAGUCGCCAGUGAGAUACCACCUCCGUAUUAUUUUAAACCUAACAUCUUGCCUUGAAUCAGGCGGAUGAACAGUAUCUGGUGGGUAGUUUAACUGGGGCGGUUGCCUCCCAAAAUGUAACGGAGGCGUUUACAAAGGUUGACUAGUUCCCGAUGGAAACGGGAGCGAUAGUGCAAGCGCAUAAGUCAGCUUUACUGCAAGGGCGACAACCCGAGCAGUUGCGAAAGCAGAAGCUAGUGAUCCGACCGUACGAUAUAGGACGGCGGAAGCUCAACGGAUAAAAGUUACUCCGGGGAUAACAGGCUGAUAACGCCCAAGCGUCCACAGCGACGGCGUUGUUUGGCACCUCGAUGUCGGCUCAUCGCAUCCUGGGGGUGAAGAAGCUCCCAAGGGUUUGGCUGUUCGCCAAUUAAAGCGGUACGCGAGCUGGGUUCAGAACGUCGUGAGACAGUUCGGUCUCCUAUCCACUAUGGGCGUUGAAUUUUGAAGAGACUCUUCCCUAGUACGAGAGGACCGGGAAGGACGAACCUCUAGUGUACCAGUUGUCCUAUCAGGGGCAUCGCUGGGUAGCUACGUUCGGUUGUGAUAAGCGCUGAAAGCAUCUAAGCGCGAAGCCGACUCUAAGAUUAGAAUUCGUUUAAGAUCGGUCGGAGACUACGACCUUGAUAGGCUCUAGGUGUAAGUGCAGCAAUGCAUUAAGCCGAGGAGUACUAAUAGAUCAAGUAAUUACUAAA
rnacentral:rRNA from 1 species